AGGUUGUGACAGGAAAGGAUGGGCAGACUGGUACUCCUGUUGCUAUAGCAACCCAGCUUCCUCCAAAUGUUUCUGCUGCUUUUUCAUCCCAGCAGCAACCAUUUCAGCAGCCAGCUCUUG